rnacentral:rRNA from 1 species
ACUCCUACGGGAGGCAGCAGUGAGGAAUAUUGCGCAAUGGGCGAAAGCCUGACGCAGCAACGCCGCGUGGAGGAUGACGGUUUUCGGAUUGUAAACUCCUGUUAAGUGGGAAGAAAGAGCUAUCUCUAAUAAAGAUAGAAGAUGACGGUACCACUAGAGAAAGCACCGGCUAACUUCGUGCCAGCAGCCGCGGUAAUACGAGGGGUGCAAACGUUAUUCGGAUUGACUGGCGUAAAGGGUGCGUAGGUGGCAUUUUAAGUCUGUUGUUAAAUCUUUUGGCCUAACCAAAAGGUCGCGAUGGAUACUGGAGUGCUAGAGGGUAGAAGAGAGAAGUGGAAUUCUCGGAGUAGCGGUAAAAUGCGUAGAUCUCGAGAGGAACACCGAUGGCGAAGGCAGCUUCUUGGUCUACUUCUGACACUGAGGCACGAAAGCGUGGGUAGCAAACAGGAUUAGAUCCCUGGUAGGCUCU